rnacentral:rRNA from 1 species
GACGAACGCUGGCGGCGUGCUUAACACAUGCAAGUCGAACGGAAAGGCCCUGCUUGCAGGGUGCUCGAGUGGCGAACGGGUGAGUAACACGUGGGUGAUCUGCCCCUUACUUUGGGAUAAGCCUGGGAAACUGGGUCUAAUACUGGACAGGACCAUGCUGUAGGUGGUGUGGUGGAAAGAUUAGUUUCGGUAAGGGAUGAGCUCGCGGCCUAUCAGCUUGUUGGUGGGGUAAUGGCCUACCAAGGCGUCGACGGGUAGCCGGCCUGAGAGGGUGGACGGCCACAUUGGGACUGAGAUACGGCCCAGACUCCUACGGGAGGCAGCAGUGGGGAAUAUUGCACAAUGGGCGCAAGCCUGAUGCAGCGACGCCGCGUGGGGGAUGACGGCCUUCGGGUUGUAAACUCCUUUCAGCCAUGACGAAGCCCUUGUGGUGACGGUAGUGGUAGAAGAAGCACCGGCUAACUACGUG